rnacentral:lncRNA from 1 species
CCGUACCAGCCUUGAUCUGCCUGUAACUGAAAGGUGCACAUCCAGCACAUCCAACUGACCUGUCAUUGCCGGCUGCUGCUAGAUAAGAUACGCAAAAAUAAUCUCCGUGUCAUUUCUUCAACUGUAAAUCCUCGCUUUCUUAAAUAGUCUCAAGUAGCAUGGCGGAUGAGAGUAUGGAGUCUUUUGGAAAUGCAGUGGCCUCUCAUUACAAUAGUAUUGAAGAUGUAGGAGGUCGUGAGAGACAGAAAAGUCGAAUAGUACACUUGAGGAAUUUCAACAACUGGAUUAAAGGAAUGCUGAUUGACCAUUACUUGAAAACGUAAGUGAAAAAAAGAAGCAUAGAGAGCCCUUAAGGUGCUGGACUUAGCAUGUGGUAAAGGUGGUGUGACUUGUAAAGUGGAACCACCGCAAGUUAACGCACGUAGUUGGUGUGGACAUUGCAGAAGGCUCAAUUGAAGAUUGUAAGAACCGAUACAAUUUUGUUGUGCAGCAGGAAUUUCCAAAGAACGGAAAGACCAUAUUUUCAAGGGACAUUUUUUUGCAGCUGAUUGCACAAAGGUACCUCUUUUGAUCCUUAUUAUGGUUUUUUUUGCUGUUUUUUUUUUUGUUUUUUUUGUUUU